UCACCCCUCCAUGGGGAGGAGCAGCAGCCCUUACUUCACGUGCCUGAAGGGCUUCGGGGUGAGGAU
rnacentral:sRNA from 1 species